rnacentral:sRNA from 1 species
GAUGCAGCCCCCUCCCCCGCACCCCGGAACCGGCGUCGCUGGCGCAUCCUGGGUGGAGGCAGGCCCGAGCUCGGGGAAGGGGUUUUCCCUUCCUCUCUGACCCAGAUCUGCGCACGGCCUAGCCCAGGCCUCAUUUCUUAUCCCCGCCAAGGGUUUCCUCUCAGUCAUUUGUUUACCAGAAACAUGAAAACUGCCUGUCUGGCCGGGCUGCAGUUACGGCCCCCGGGACCCCACCUCUGGCCCCACCUCCCUCAAGUCUGCGCCCCGUCCCCAGCCAGACCCACUCGCCGCCGGGACCCUUUCAUUGCCCCGGUGGAGUGAAUGGAGGAUGAGGGGCCUUGACUCUGUGUCUCCAACUGCUGCACCCCAUCCCGACCCUGUCCCCGCCACCUCGCAGCCCCAUUAAAGCGCUCUCAUCUGGGCUCCGGUUCACUCACUCGCUGUGGCCGCGACUUGCUCUCUCCUCGGAUUUAAUACCGCGAUCUCAGCCAAACUCCGGCCGAGAAACUGAGAAAUGUCUUGACCCCCUCUCGACAUUCGUUCGUGCUGCUUCGCCUUGGCUGGAGCGAUAGGGGCGAGCAGGGGUGGGGCCGGCUGGUGCUGCUACGCAGGGCCGUGCCAGCGGCUUAAUAAGUGACAUAAAAUGUCUACACGCAUAA